rnacentral:rRNA from 1 species
UACGAAGGGUGCAAGCGUUAGUCGGAAUUACUGGGCGUAAAGCGUGCGUAGGCGGUUUCUUAAGUCUGUUGUGAAAGCCCUGGGCUCAACCUGGGAACUGCAGUGGAUACUGAGAGGCUAGAGUGUGUCAGAGGAUGGUGGAAUUCCCGGUGUAGCGGUGAAAUGCGUAGAGAUCGGGAGGAACAUCAGUGGCGAAAGCGCUCUGCUGGACUGCAACUGACACUCAGGGACGAAAGCUAGGGGAGCGAAUGGG